rnacentral:lncRNA from 1 species
CUUCUCUGUGCCACGCAGGAAAGUGGGUCACAGGAGGAUUGCUCUGGGGAGUUGGUCCCAGUGUCCCUCGCUCCUGUCUGCCAUUCCUUGGAGUAGAGCCGACGCCAUCCCCGCGGCUGGAAGAACACAAAGGAAACCCUAUUCGGUCCCCGGACCUUAGGGUCACUGUAAGCAGGAGGCUGGUGUGUUUUCCAGUCUCAGAACUCCGGCCGCCCGCGGGAACAAUAGCGGCCGCCUGCCCGGGAGGUCGGACGCUCGGCACAAAGUCGGCUUGGUCCGCGCGGCCGGCCACACGACGCGCGCGCUGACCCGGCUGCCGUCGCUCGCCGGUGUUCCCGCGUCCACCUGGAACUCUUCGAGAAAGACAAACGCGGUUCCUCCUACUUUAGAGCAAGUCUGGGCCAGCUGGGAGCCGACCAGAAACCGCAAGCGAAGGAGACGCGGGCGCUCCGGGUGAGCGCCGAGGGAGGGGGCGACACACAGUCCUGCGCCAGCCCAGCAGCGACGAGGAUAGCGCUCCAGGCAGGCAGGAGGGGAAGGUCGGGGACAUCUCUGUGCAGCACCCGAAGGGAGGGCCACUGCUUACUUCUCAGCUCUAACCGCAGCCCACCAGCACGGACCUCGAACUUCAUAGCAAAUCUACACCCACGCUGUCCCCCGACCCAUUGUGACCCGGCAUUCUCCCUCCUACCCCAGUGACACUCACAUAGGCCGCUCUAUUUCUAGAAAGGGAAACCCUCUUUCUGAAGGCAGGGCAAGAACAAUCCCAAUGAACCAAGGUUUCUUAUUGACCCCAAGUCUGCCUGCAGGCCUCUCUGCGUGGGAGUAAGUAGGUCAAGGCUGCCACUGAACUUGGAGUAAACUUGAAUUCCCUUUAAAGUUACAAUAAAAGUAUGUACAUAAUCAUCUAC